rnacentral:tRNA from 2 species
CGCGGGGUGGAGCAGCCUGGUAGCUCGUCGGGCUCAUAACCCGAAGGUCGUCGGUUUAAAUCCGGCCCCCGCAACCA